rfam:Cathartes aura contig36927, whole genome shotgun sequence.
CCAAAGGCUCUUUUCAGAGCCACACACAUAAUCAUAAGAGAGCUC